UCCAGGUGUGGGGGAGGCGAUGGGAGCCGACAACAGCGGCGUGCUGUACGCCCUGUGGAGCUACCAGGGGCAGGCCGCUGACGAGCUGGGCUUCAAUGAGGGGGACAUGGUGACCAUCCUGCAGAAGGCCCAGGGGGUGGACUGGUGGUGGGCCUCGCUCUGCGGCCGCGAGGGCUUUGUGCCCAACAACUACUUUGGGCUCUUCCCAAAGGUCCGUCCUAAGUCUCUGUGUUGAUGCGUCUCUCUGGGCUCACGGAUCAGAGGACGACGUCGUCUCAUCUGGUGUUCUACACCAUGUCCCUCCACCAGGGGGAGCCAGGGAGUUAGGCCUGGCCUUUACAAGUGGCCAGGCGGAGAGGUAGACACGUGGACAAGGGGAGGGACUUCAACUGGUUUGCAACUGCUGCAAUUGUGAGGAGCACAAGAAGAGGUGUGCGUAGGGCGUUUCGUUGAAAGCCAGUGAGGGGAAACAGUACAGUGUCUAAAACUAAAGUUUAAAUCCAUCUAGGGACGCCUCACAAGUUGUCUGUGCGAACUAAAAUAAACUUUUAGGUGUCUGUUGUGUACUUUUGACUGCGACUGGAGAUAUUGAUGCUUGGGAAGGGGGUUGGGUCAAUCCCAGACAGGUGUGGCCAGAUGAAUCACAGCUUCACAAUAAAAGUCCCGAUAAGGUAGAAAUUGAUUUAGUUUGUACUUUGAUGGCAGAACUUACCGAGUGCCUUCACAAUGUUUAUAGAAUAAAGAAGAGAAUGGUUUGUAUUCUUUAUGUAGAGGUGUAGUUUAAAUGUAUCCUUCAGCACGGCACACAACCUAGUUGCUUCAUACAAUGACACUCUUUUAACAGCUGUAAAGAGACCUUAUUCACCUAGUGGCCAUACUGGGUAGUUGGGUAGGUAAACCUCUUUUAGAGGCUUCGAAAAAACCAUGGCAACUCAAUGCAUCUAUUUCUAUUUUGAAGUAGUUCGGCAAACCAUUUACGUAGCCUUAAGAAUAAAUAUCCAUUGUGUCCACAAAGCCCCAAUGAUUCUAGAAGGUUUACCCUCCCAACUGACCAACAUGGCCAACGCUUUCCACAGAUUAGUCUGUUUUUUCUAAUUUUGAAAUUGUACAGCUCUGAUGGAUUUCAACCUCUCUAUUUUGCUCAAUAUAGCAAUCGUUUAUGUGUAUGAAUCUGAAUCUUGUUGAAUAAAUAUAUAAGGAAGAAUGUGUAUUUUGGACUCCGGCAGCCUUUUUUAAGGGCACAGAAAUACUCAGUAUCCUGUUCAAGUUCUCCGUCGAGGGUUCAUGUAUUUUAGUACGUUUAAAAAAUAAACGUGUUGAUGAUGAAUACA